rnacentral:tRNA from 1 species
GCCUCUGUGGCCUAAUGGAUAAGGCGUCAGUCUCCUAAACCGAAGAUGUGGGUUCGAGUCCCACCAGGGGUA